UGUAUAAUGGGUCAGCGACUUAUAUUCUGUAGCAAGGUUAACCGAAUAGGGGAGCCGAAGGGAAACCGAGUCUUAACUGGGCGUUAAGUUGCAGGGUAUAGACCCGAAACCCGGUGAUCUAGCCAUGGGCAGGUUGAAGGUUGGGUAACACUAACUGGAGGACCGAACCGACUAAUGUUGAAAAAUUAGCGGAUGACUUGUGGCUGGGGGUGAAAGGCCAAUCAAACCGGGAGAUAGCUGGUUCUCCCCGAAAGCUAUUUAGGUAGCGCCUCGUGAAUUCAUCUCCGGGGGUAGAGCACUGUUUCGGCAAGGGGGUCAUCCCGACUUACCAACCCGAUGCAAACUGCGAAUACCGGAGAAUGUUAUCACGGGAGACACACGGCGGGUGCUAACGUCCGUCGUGAAGAGGGAAACAACCCAGACCGCCAGCUAAGGUCCCAAAGUCAUGGUUAAGUGGGAAACGAUGUGGGAAGGCCCAGACAGCCAGGAUGUUGGCUUAGAAGCAGCCAUCAUUUAAAGAAAGCGUAAUAGCUCACUGGUCGAGUCGGCCUGCGCGGAAGAUGUAACGGGGCUAAACCAUGCACCGAAGCUGCGGCAGCGACGCUUAUGCGUUGUUGGGUAGGGGAGCGUUCUGUAAGCCUGUGAAGGUGUGCUGUGAGGCAUGCUGGAGGUAUCAGAAGUGCGAAUGCUGACAUAAGUAACGAUAAAGCGGGUGAAAAGCCCGCUCGCCGGAAGACCAAGGGUUCCUGUCCAACGUUAAUCGGGGCAGGGUGAGUCGACCCCUAAGGCGAGGCCGAAAGGCGUAGUCGAUGGGAAACAGGUUAAUAUUCCUGUACUUGGUGUUACUGCGAAGGGGGGACGGAGAAGGCUAUGUUGGCCGGGCGACGGUUGUCCCGGUUUAAGCGUGUAGGCUGGUUUUCCAGGCAAAUCCGGAAAAUC
rnacentral:rRNA from 1 species